UAACCUGUUUUCAUCUUACAAAAGUAUACACAUCAAUAGUUAAUACUGUAUUUUUUCUCUCUUUGUGUAGGCAGCUGUCCCCAAAAAUGAUAGAGCUUUAUAACUGCAGAUGAAUAACCAUCUCUUCCUGACUUGCCUCUUCUUCAUCUCGACAUUCCUGUAACUGCCUCAUCUUUUCCAUGAGGGCUUCAACCUCAAAGAAAGAAUCACUUACCUGAAGAAAAAAUACAAUUAAUGUUACAUGUGGCAGACAUAGAAUAUAUAUGAAUUAUCUUUUAAGUCUGUCUCAUAAGAAUUUAUAUCUUUUUUUUUUUUUUUUUUUUUUGAGACAGAGUCUUGCUCUGUUGCCCAGGCUGCAGUGCAGUGGCGCGAUCUCGGCUCACUGCAAGGUCCACCUCCCAGGUUCACGCCAUUCUCCUGCCUCGGCCUCCCGAGUAGCUGGGACUACAGGUGCCUGCCACCAUGCCCGGCUAAUUUUUUGUGUUUUUUAGUAGAGACGGGGUUUCACCGUGUUAGCCAGGAAUGGUCUCGAUCUCCUGACCUUGUGAUCUGUCCACCUCGGCCUUCCAAAGUGCUGGGAUUACAGGCGUGAGCCACUGCACCUGGCCAGAAUUUAUAUCUUAGUAGAAUAUAGGGAAAAUAUUCCUAUAAUUUUAAUGUACAUGAAUGAAUAAAAAACUACUUUGGCCUAUUAGGAAUACAGACAUGCAGAUUUUAAAAUAUAAGGAAAAAAAUGAUUUUAAGAACACAUUCUAAUGCUUUUACCUUAUAAAAUUAGCAAUAAUGUCAUUACCAUUUAUGCUGUUUUAAACUACUUGUCAAUUUAAAGCAGAACUGCGUAAGAUAACUUCUACUUGCUUAAUCUUUAAAUAAAUAAGAUACACAAAGUAUAAGUGAUUUUGCAUCAACUGUGUACACUGGGCAUACAUAUUGUCAAUGUGUCUAUCAUCUUUAAUAAUUAGCUUUAUUUCUACAAUUUACCAAUUAAACAUGAAAGAUGUCUACAUGGCUGGAGUUGGCCACCUGACCUCUGCAAAUGGAUCUGGCAGCUGUCACUUGCUGGGAUGACUAGAGCAGUGUCACACAUAGAGUAAUGGGGCUGACAAAGGACUGGCCAAGUGGUUUUGCACUAGUCAAACUGGUUAUACUUCUAUACCCUGCUGCAUUCUUGCUACAAAAGCUAGAUCAAAUCUAUGCAAUUUAUACCUUUCUUAUAAAAUGAAUAUAUUAAGAAGUCUGGGUUGGGCUAGUGGCUCAUGCCUGUAAUCCCAGCAUUUUGGGAGACCAAGGCAGGAGAAUCACUUGAGCCCAGGAGGAGUUCAAGGCUGCAGUGAGCUGUGAUUGUGCCACUGUAUUCCAGCCUGGACAACAGAGAGAGACUUUGUCUCAAAAAGAGAAAAAAAAGUCUUAAUCUCAAAUCUCAAUGUAUACAUACAAAAUUAAUGUUUCCCCCCUUAUAAAUUUAUUUUGCCAGGAAUGCUUUUAAGACCUCUAUCUUCCAUUCUUCCUGGCUUCCACCCAUUGAUCCUUCAGGUAGCAGCUUACAUCCUUGUAAACACUGUCAUUUACCCCACAAGCUCCAAUUAUUCUAACACAACCCUCUCCUCUUUCCUUCAGAGGACCAAUCAUAAUUUAUAAUUGUUACUCGCAUGAUAUUGAUUUAAUGCAGGCUCCCUUCCCAGACCAAACCUUCAUAAAGGUAGGAAAUCUGUUUGGUUUACUUGUAUAUAUCCCAAGCCUAGCAUAGUACCUGGUACAUAGUAGAUAUUCAAGAAAUACUUGCUGGAGAAUGACUCUCAGGAUAAUUCUAUAUUAAGAGACAAUCUAUAUCACUUGUGCUUUACAUUUUCUUUUGAUCCAAACAGUUAUACUGAAAUGCCCAGUAUUAAGCCCUUUCUCUAAGACUUUCAUGAUGGGAAGUGUUUCUAUGACGAUACUGAAGAUUCUUGUGGUGCAUGCAUGCAUUUUCCCCAGUUAUUCCUGACAUAGAGUCAGUAACCAAAUAAAAAAUAGCUGAAAAGGAUUAGGUUUCAUGACAGGAUGACUCAAAGUUUAAAAAAGAUCUCUGUCAACUCACAUUAUCUGUCACUAAUUUAUUUUGUUUACCUAUUCUCCUCUUAAAGAGCCCAAAUUUUAAGUAUUCUUAGGAAAGGUAAUUCUUGAUAAAUUAUAUUGAAAUAAGAGGGAAAGGAAACAAAGUAGGUUUCUUUGUUCCUUCACUGAUCUGCUAAAGUUGGGAUUAAAAAAAAAAUGGCAUUUCAUUUUAAUAUUAAAAUGUUAAAAUUGUGUAAGAAAACUCUUUUUUCUUUCCCUUUAUAAAUUACCCAGUCUUGGGUAUGUCUUUAUUAGCAGCAUGAGAACAGAAUAAUACACCAACACUUAGAAGCAACCAAUGUGUUCUUCAGUAGCUACUGGAAUAAAGAAAUGUUGCUACAUCCAGAAAAUGAAAAAUUAUUCAGUGCUAAAAAGAAAUUAGGUAUCAAGCCAUGAACAGACAUGGAAGAAAUUUAAAUGUAUAUUACUAAGUGAAAGAAGCCAAUCUGAAAAGGCUACGUACUGUAUGAUUCCAACUAUAUAACAUUCUGGAAAAGACAACUAUGGAGAGAGUAAAGAAAUGAAUAAGUAGUUUCCAGGGUUGGGAGGGAGGGAAAAUUCUUGUUUGUUACCAUUUGUAUCUGAAGAGCUGAGUCAGAUACUGGAUAUGUACCUAAAGAACAAGCCAUAUCAGCUCACUGUCAAAGUGUCAUCAGGGUAGGCCAUAAACCUUCUAAAAGUAUCCAACUUACCUGGGAAUAGGAAGCUUAUUAGAGAAAUAAAAAUUAUCUUCUUUCACUAUUCAUUCUUUUAAUAGAAGGAGAACUAGAAACAAUCAAGUACUUUUUUCUUUAGCCUUGUACUAAAUUAUUGGUAGCAAGGAGAAGAAUCCAUCUCCUAGCAUUCUAGCAACUGAAUACUCUCUUGGAUCCUCUUCUGACUGCCAAGCUUUGAAAAAUAAUCAGUGGCCAUAUGCAGGCCUAUAACAUGAAUCUAGGCAGCUCAAAGGAGGGUGAAACUGAUGGUCUUUGGCAGUCCUAUGAUCAACCUUGGGAAAAUUAUUCUUUCUUGUGCUAAUUUCACCAUAUGUAAAUGCUACCUCUUAUUUAGCACCUGACAAAUGCUAAGUGCUGUACUUGGCAUUUUACUUCUUUAGAGACAUUUCAUUUAAACCUCACAAUAACUUUGUGUUUUACUUUUAUUUAGAUACAAAAGAACUGAGAUUCAGUAACUUGCCCGAAGUCAAAUAUAUAAAUUAAAGGCAAUUCAACCUGUCAAAUCUAUUUCAAAGGGAUAAUAUAACUCAGAAAAUGCAUGUAAAGCAUUCAGAUGGCUGUGGUACUGCUUCUAAAAUUUAUUUUUGAAGCAUAAAAUAAACCCUUGCUUUUUCACUACAACAAAAGAAUGCAGAAGGAGAUUUUGAUUCAUCAUAUACAGGAAUUAAAAUUUGCUUAUAGAAAACUGAACUUGCUCUGUUUCAAAGGAGUAACAAAACUAAGAAUAUAUAAAAGCCAGGAACAGAAGGAAUAGAGGUGAAAGCAUUUUAACACAUUUACAUUCACCUGAUAUCACCUUCUAUAUUGGUGCAAAGUUAAACAUGAAAAAGAAUUCUGAAGAGAGAAAUUUCUAGAUCAAAGUUGAUUAAAUCUUCUGAAAUAUAAAAAAUUAAGAAGCCAGACUGUUUAUUUUGUGCAAAAGAGAAGAAUGUGAUUGGCACAAAAAGUCUCCACCACCAGGCCACACUAUUUUCAGCCUUCCCUCAUGUCACUGCAGUAGCCAAUCAAUAUUAUUUGGUCCUGACGGGACACAUGCUGUUGGCUCCUGAUCCUAAAAUUAUCUAAAUGUAAACUCCUACAGGGUCUUAGAGUUUUGUACAUCACUUUUGUAAAAUGUUGUAUAUCACCUAGACUAGUGAUGAGCAUGUGAGGCAGUCAAUAAAACCCUACUGAAUGAAUAGAUAUAGGGGCCCAAUAUCUCCACAGUCUUAACAGGGUGGGUUUUUCUAAGAAGCCAACUGAAGAAAUAAUAUAACAGCAAUUAUUGUGAUUAGUUUUAUGACAAUCUCAUGACAAAUAAUACUUACAGAAACAUUUUCUGCUGAGUUGACCGGCAUCUCAUCCACACUGUGAUUGCCAUUUGUAAUGUCACAGAUGCAGUAGUUGCUAACAGAAGGAGGUCUGAAUGUGUGGCCACCAUCACAAUGAAUUUCUGGACUGAUUCCACAGCCGAAUGUGAAUGAGGCAAGAGAAUGAUAGUGUGUGAGUAAAACUACUGCAUGUACCAAUUCCGCAAGGGACCAGCUGUGCUCUUCAGCUUUUAAAAGUCCCUUAGGGGGAAAAAAAAAAAGAAUAUAUUUUUGUACUGGGGUGUGGUAAAAGUAUACAGUUCAUUUUAGUAUUUAAUUUAUUGAAAACAUGAGUCAUCAUACAAAGCCUAGCAUAAAAUUAUCAUUUGAAACAUGUAGAACCCAGAAUUUGCUAAUUUUUAUGAAUAUGCAUUCACAAAUAGAACUUAACAUAAUCUGUUAAGACAUUCACUAUUAUUUUGAUUUUCUGAAAUAUUGACUUAAAAUGUAAGAGAAUGCAUUUUGCUUAAAAGUGGCUGCUGUAUUUCAGAUGCUGGAUUAUGAAUGAAUUACUGUGUUGUUAGUUCAAAAUCUCAAAGCAAAUGUAAUAAAUUUGUGUUUAAAAGUAGAAGCUGCUGUGUGAAACGCCUGUGCUUUGUUUAUUAUAAGGCCUCCUCAAGGAAUUUUUAAGAUAGUGGCUUGAACAACUUGAUUAAAUAUUCCUAAAUCAUCAAAAAGUUAUAUAUAACUUCUAUAAUUCUUCUAUUCAAUUCUGUGUCACUUCUGCUUCAUUAUCUAUUUUGUAAUCUUGUAUAAUUUUUCCUUACUUGACAAUAUAUAAUAGGCAUUGUAUUAAUAUAUUCAAAUCUUGUAUCUUCUUGAUAAUAUCUUUAAUUAUCUAAUAGUAUCUAUUCUAUGAAAUAGAUAAGACCAAAAGAUGCAUCUCUAAGAAUUUAUAGUGCAUGGUAGACAAUUUUAGAGAACAUCAAUCUACUUUUACUCUAUUAUCUCUAUUAAUAAAUAGAACCAGAACUAGCUUAACAUGGCAUUUAAAACGUAACAUAAAGAUGCAUAACAAUGAGAUGCCACUUCACACUUAUCAGAAUGGCUGAAAUCCAAAACACUGACACCAAUGCUGGCCAAGAUGUGGGACAACAGGAAUGCUGCUUCAUUGCUGGUGGGAAUGCAAACUGAUACUGCCCUUUGGAAGAGUUUUACAGUUUCUUACAAAGGUAAACGUAGGCUUACCGUAUUAUCCACAAAUCGCACACCUAAUUAUUUAUCCAAAUGAGGUGAAAACUUUUGUCGACAAAAAACAAGAAACAAAAACCUAUACAUGAAUGUUUACAGCAGCUUUAUCCGUAAUUGCCCCAAACUGGCAGUAACCAAGAUGUCCUUCAAUAGGUGAAUGGAUAAACAAACUAUGGCAUAACUAUACAAUAGAGAAU
rnacentral:lncRNA from 1 species